UAUUUAUGGUAUCAUUGAGAUAUGCUCAAAGGCCUAACCAGCUUUAGGAGACUCAACUCAUUCAAAUUCAUCCCUUACAUUCACACAUUGCCCUAUUGUGUAAGGAAAUAUGUACUUAGUUGUCUGCAUUCUUAGUGUGUAAGGAAAGAUGUAUGCAAUCAACUCUAGAAGUUAUAUAAAUUAAGGCCUCAUUUUAUUUCAACAGGGGUUUGAUAAUAGUUUGUUAAAUUUGUAGACUAACUAUUGAUGAUGGAGUACUUUUGUAGGUGAAGGUGGAGUUGGCCCUCAAAGAUAAGGCCUAGGAUCUUGAUGGGGUCGAUGCAUUGUUUCACUAGAAAUAGCAUUGAUCGCUUGUGUGUGGUUGGUAAUGAGAUAGAUGAGUUAUAUAUAUAUAUAUAUUUGAGGUUCUUACUAGUCACACAUAUCUGGAGAGGAACUGAGCUUGCGCCAUUAAAGAGAUGGAGACGAUGACACUCUUCUUAGCUUCGUUGCGUGGAGUUUAAAGUUGUUGCCACAUUAGACACAUUUGCAAAAUUAUGUUGCUAAUGACAUUGUUGAGAGAGGCAAUUUCUCGUGUAACGUCCAAGUUCAGGUAGGGUAAAUUGAUGAAUUGGGAUCACAUCCUAAUGAGAAGAGUUUUGAAGAAAUGAAAGUAUCAUUAAGAAAGUCUUAAUAGAAAGGAUAACUACCGCUUAUGCCAGCAAGGUGCAUAUUUCUUUACGGUGACUUGACUAUAGAAAUUAGAAAGUUAAAUUUGAUUAGUUUCAAGUAAUUUUAAGUUGGACGACUUCAUGAGAAAUUUCCUAUAAAAUAUAUGAGAGUAGAUAAAACAUGUUGAAGAACUCAAUAAUCUAAAUUAAGCAUGCUUAGUUUCC